CCUAGAUCAACACACAGCAGUGUUCCUGUUGUACUGGGAACAAUGGUGUGAUGUUUACAGCCGCAGGAAUGAGGAGGUGGCCCCACUGUCCCUGAACGUGUCCUAAAGUGUCCCUUUGGAGAAGGACUGAUGAGACAAAAGAGACAACGCGCUUUAAAGCGUCCUGAAGCAGAAAGAAGCGAGAUGUUUCCUCUCAAUCUUCUGACAACCCUGAAGGACAUAAACCUGUCAGAAGGUCUCUGAUGUGAGCUGCCCCCCCCUCACACAAACCCGUGAAUCCAGGAUGUGCGAGUGAGCUGAACCAGAUGCUCUCACCAAGAAGUUUACUAAUCAUUUGAAUAAAUGAAACUAAAAAUCAUUUCAGUUUCUACUUCAAAGGUUUUGAUAUUUUUUUAAAUCCGUCAGGACGAAGUUUCGUUCCUCUUCAUGUCGACAUUCACUCACCGGCUCUCUGGAGGAGAUCAUUGAUACGACGUCAUCGCCAUCAGACUCUGGGAUGGACUCCAUGAAACCCGCUGCAGGAACCCGAAGGUCUUCAGUGAGCCCACAGACCAGAUCAG